GGGGGGGGGGGGGGGGGGGGGGGGGGGGGGGGGGGGGGGGGGGGGGGGGGGGGGGGGGGGGGGGGGGGGGGGGGGGGGGGGGGGGGGGCCGCGGCUGAGGCCGGAGGUGGUGCCUGCCCCGGGGUGCUCCUGCCCACGCUUCCGCCGCCAUCGGCCUGCUCAGGCUUCAGGGAAGCGUCGGGGGUAGGCAGGCGAUGAUUUACAGGAGAACUGCAACUGUGCAGAAGAAGUUUAAUUUCCAAGAGACGGCUACAGCCAAAUGAGGAAGUCGUAUACACGAGCUCAGAUAGAAUUUGGAGUGAUAUGAAGUACCUCAUACACUGAAGAACCAGCAUUUUGAAGGACCUGCAGGUGCUACCACAAGGCUCCCCAGGAGGGGAAAUCAGGAUAGCGCAUCUCAGCAGAUGGGAGCAUAAAUCUGGUUAGGAAGAGAACGCAAGUGAGAAGCAUGUUGAGUCAAUCUCCUCAAAGAUGCUCGUUGAAAAUCUUAAGAAAGGCACCCAAAACCUGUGCUAUUUGUGCUGCUCUGUUUCUGUGGAAACUGUGUGUUGAAGUGGAAUAG
rnacentral:lncRNA from 12 species